CCUACGGGAGGCAGCAGUGAGGAAUAUUGGGCAAUGGGCGAGAGCCUGAACCAGCCAAGUCGCGUGAGGGAGUACUGCCCUCUGGGUUGUAAACCUCUUUUGUCGGGGAGCAAAAGCCGGACGUGUCCGGCUGUGAGAGUAGCCGAAGAAAAAGCAUCGGCUAACUCCGUGCCAGCAGCCGCCGUAAUACGGAGGAUGCGAGCGUUAUCCGGAUUUAUUGGGUUUAAAGGGUGCGCAGGCGGCUUUUUAAGUCAGCGGUCAAAGCGUGGGGCUUAACCCCAGUCAGCCGUGGAAACUGGGGAUCUAGAGUGUGCGAGAGGUAUGCGGAAUGCGUGGUGUAGCGGUGAAAUGCAUAGAUAUCACGCAGAACCCCGAUUGCGAAGGCAGCAUUCCGGUGCACAACUGACGCUCAGGCACGAAAGCGUGGGUAUCGAACAGGAUUAGAUACCCCAGUAGUC
rnacentral:rRNA from 1 species